UUUGCGUACCGCGGCGAGGUGCGGCUGCGCUGCGGGCGUAGCUGAGCUACGGGAAUCAGGGGGGAGCGCGAGCGCUGCGGUGCUUCGUGAGGGGAAAUGGCGGGAGGAGCGGCUCCCUCACGACCGUCGGGGCUUCGGGGUGUCCUGGGGCCCGAGGGAGCCCGACCCCCGCCCAGGGAGCGUGAGUGCCGUGGUGUGGAGACCGAGGAGCGUCCAGGGAGCGCUGUCCCGGCGCCUCCAUCAGGGCUCGGUCCUCACAGGAUGGAGCUGCGCUCGUUUUCGCCUCCCUCAGGCCGCCCUUUCUCCUCCGUCCGUCGCUGCCCUCCACCUGUAUGGGCUCACGGGCCGUAUUUCUGCUCCGUGUUCUUCAGCCUUUUCCUCAGUAACGCAGCUCACGAUCUCAGCCCCCAGCCCCGGCUCUGCCCGAGCUCCGCACGGACCGCUGCCCGCCUUGGAAGCGGGGCUGUGAGGGGAGCCGGGCUGCUGGAGCGGCAGGAGCGUCAGCUGUGAGCCUGCGACGAAACGUGCGGGAGUUUGACAGCUGCGUUGGCUGAGGGCUGAUAAUUCCCUCACUCAGCUCCGUGUUGUGAAUGGCUGUCACUUUCUCGAACUCUGACAAAACAAACAGUAAAGGAGAUGGAGCGGCAGAAGGCUUUUGGGGUUCUUUCGAACAGGUCCAGUUUCCACAUUAAACCUGCCUGGGAGGAACCACUGCUACUCGGUCUCCGCAAACUGCUGAUAUUCUGGCUCCGUGACCAGUGUUGUUAGUGAACUUGAAAGAGGCUGCAAAGGGGAAAGAUCAAGAAAAGAAGAGAGAAUACCACAUAUUCUGAGGACAGCCACAGCAUCUCCAGCUGAUUGGAUAUAUGGGCAGUGUUCCUGAUGGGAUAAAUCUGUUGCAUUCCUGACUGCCUCAUCAGGCUUCCUGUGGCACUGGAAGGAUUUGCAUCAAGCCAGAGAGCACAACAGCACUGCAGCAAGGCAGGGAAAAGCUAACAUCCCCGUUUCACCAGAGGAAAAGCGAUCACCAGAGGAGAGGUGAAGUCCAGGAAGGCUGUGGUGCCUCUGUGGGGUUACGCAGGCCAGGCAUAUUGUGAAGCUGAAACACAUGCUGAAGCAUCCAGACAGUGCCUCAAGCUGGCCAUGCGUUCCCAGAAAUAAAGAAAAACACCAGAGCCUACCUGCAGAAUGACCUUUCUCCUAACUGACUUGCAGCUCCGAAGCUUUUGUGCUGGAAGAGAUAGGGAGAUGAAAUGCUCUCCUGUUCAGUGCAUGCAGAAGAGACUGGAGCUGAGUUGCUAUUUUCGUAACAGUAAAACUACGGCGAGAUCUGAAUUCUUCGUUCAUGUUUCGUCGCUUUGAGGCAAGCAGUGGUGAUGAGAUCAGACAUCAGCCAUAGGACACUUCUUGGCAGUGUGAGGGAAAGCCAAGACUGAGCAUAUGGUUUGUUGCAAGCUCUGACCUUCCCAGUGAACUGGGGCAAAGCCAAGCGGCUGGAAUUUCCAUCGAGUGCCAUUCAGAAGCCUGCAUGAUGCUGUGGAAAGCCUCUGUGCCAUUUCUGGGAAAAGAAGG